CACAGUGACUGCCCUGGCUUUCUUUGCUUUGCCUCCUGUCUGUGUUUGAAAUCCCGAAAUCACCGCCUUGAGCUCUGAAGCCCAGCGGCUCCGAGGCUGCAAGCCUCUCCGCUGGCCCCAGAUGUGCAGCAUGCAGCUUGAAUCUCUGAGGACUCUGGUGGUGGAUGCCAACUCCAACUCACAGUGGGAAUCUGGCCCACAGGACCCAGCCUGCCACCCUCCAGGGAGCCGUGGAGAUUUCAGGAUUUCUCCUCUGCGAAAUGGGGAUAACAGCUCCCUCUUCAUCCGGUUAUGGUCAGGGAACUGUGGGAGGAUCAAUGCUGCUUGAAGCCAUCGGUUUCUGGGAAUUUGUCACAGCAGCCCAGGAAACACAUGCAGAAGGUUUGGAGAUUGGUCUUUCCGAUGACUAGGGUGCUUUGUGCCCAUUUCAACACUCUCUGCCCUCAGUGGCACAUUCAGACCACGUUGACUUGGGCAAUGGUGAGGGAAAUGCAAAGGUGAGCCAAAAAUACCUGGUCUCUGUCUUUGGGGGGACUUAAAACAACAGCAGCUCAUUCUGUCGCAGUCCAAGAGGCCAGAAGUCCAGAAUCACGAUGCCAGUGGGGCUGGCCCCUCUAGGGGCUCCAGGGAGAAUCUCCAGCAUUUCUCUCCUGGCCUGGUGGCUGCUGGCUCCUCUGGCGAUGUGUGGCAUGUGGACGCGUCACAGAGAUCGGCAGGCAGAUCUCUGCCUCUGUCUGUGCAUGGUCUUCCUCUCCCUGUGUGACUCUCUGUGUCUUCACUUGGGCUUCUCACAGGGACACCAGUCACUGGAUUUAGGGUGCACUCAAAUCCAGUAUGACCCAUCCGAACUCAUGACAUUUGAAAAGACCCUUUUUCCAAAUAUGGUCACAUCUGAGGUCCCAGGUGGAUAUGAAAUUUGGGUGACACUGUGCAACCCAGUACCAUCCCUUUUUUUUGAGACGGAGUCUUGCUCUGUCACCCAGGCUGGAGUGCAGUGGCGCGA
rnacentral:lncRNA from 1 species